AUUGAACGCUGGCGGCAGGCUUAACACAUGCAAGUCGAGCGAGCGGCGGACGGGUGAGUAACGUCUGGGAAACUGCCUGAUGGAGGGGGAUAACUACUGGGAACGGUAGCUAAUACCGCAAACCAUAAGAUGUGCCCAGAUGGGAUUAGCUAGUAGGUGGGGUAAUGGCUCACCUAGGCGACGACCCCUCGCUGGUCUGAGAGGAUGACCGGCCACACUGGACCGGAGACACGGUCAGGACUCCACGGGGAGGCAGCAGGGGGGAAUAUUGGACAUGGGGCGAAAGCCUGAUGCAGCAAGGCCGGGGGUGUGAAGAAGGUCUUCGGAUUGUAAAGCACUUUAAGUUGGGAGGCGUUACCAACAGAAUAAGCACCGGCUAACUUCGUGCCAGCAGCCGCGGUAAUUC
rnacentral:rRNA from 1 species